rnacentral:rRNA from 1 species
CUUGCUAGAUUGAUGGCGAGUGGCGAACGGGUGAGUAAUACAUCGGAACGUGCCCUGUAGUGGGGGAUAACUAGUCGAAAGAUUAGCUAAUACCGCAUACGACCUGAGGGUGAAAGUGGGGGACCGCAAGGCCUCAUGCUAUAGGAGCGGCCGAUGUCUGAUUAGCUAGUUGGUGGGGUAAAGGCCCACCAAGGCGACGAUCAGUAGCUGGUCUGAGAGGACGAUCAGCCACACUGGGACUGAGACACGGCCCAGACUCCUACGGGAGGCAGCAGUGGGGAAUUUUGGACAAUGGGCGAAAGCCUGAUCCAGCAAUGCCGCGUGUGUGAAGAAGGCCUUCGGGUUGUAAAGCACUUUUGUCCGGAAAGAAAUGGCUCUGGUUAAUACCUGGGGUCGAUGACGGUACCGGAAGAAUAAGGACCGGCUAACUACGUGCCAGCAGCCGCGGUAAUACGUAGGGUCCAAGCGUUAAUCGGAAUUACUGGGCGUAAAGCGUGCGCAGGCGGUUGUGCAAGACCGAUGUGAAAUCCCCGAGCUUAACUUGGGAAUUGCAUUGGUGACUGCACGGCUAGAGUGUGUCAGAGGGGGGUAGAAUUCCACGUGUAGCAGUGAAAUGCGUAGAGAUGUGGAGGAAUACCGAUGGCGAAGGCAGCCCCCUGGGAUAACACUGACGCUCAUGCACGAAAGCGUGGGGAGCAAACAGGAUUAGAUACCCUGGUAGUCCACGCCCUAAACGAUGUCA